rnacentral:misc_RNA from 1 species
UCAAGCAUAAGCUACAUUAUAGAGCAGACAAUGUACCAUGCCUGAGAUUUUACAGGUGCAUAGCUUUAUACAUUCUUUGCUAUGAUUACACCUAAUGGACACAGAUUAACAAGGAUUAACCAUUUAAUCCAAGCUUUAUUGCAGAGACACUACGCAGAAACCCGUUUUUGUUCUUAUGAAAAGGGGUUGUCAAAGCGUAUACCACUUCUAUCAGGUAGCAGCUUCUUCAUGUAGUACUUUGACCUACGAGAGAGAUUGAUCUUUUUCCUUUUUUGAGCUGGUAUACGGUCGAUAGAACAUUCAGAAAAACCGCGCCUCACAAACCAAUCAGCUGUG